CCAGCACAUCGAGACAACCAACCCAGCCCAGCGAACAGCCUCCAUCGUUCCCUUAUUUUCUCCUCUGCCUCCCGCGAACCCUCGCCGCCUCCACCAACGCCGGGCGAUUCCGGCUACUUCCGGCAGCCCUCACCGAAGCGCAGCACACCCACGAGCUCUCCUCGCGACGGUUCUUCCUUCCCUCUGGCAAAAUCUGCUCCUCGCGGCAGCAAGCGCUCGCGCACGACCCCUCUUCGCGGCUAGGGUUUCGGCUGCGUUCAACUCCGGCGCGGUUUGCUACUUAAUUUUCAAAAAAUCAUGCGUUUGUAUCACCAUCCUAUGGAACCACGAAGCCGGAUCCAAUGAUUUCAGAGAACAUUUACUAUGUUUAUGGAUCAUUACAUGUGAUCUGCUAGAACAAGCUACCGAAGCACUAGAACUGCUCUCUUUGAUGGCAUUGAAGAAAGUGGAAUACGAGCACCGGCUUAUUCUUCACGUGAGAUAGAUGAACAUGAGAAUGAGCAAGCUAUGGAUCGAUUGUAGAGAUCGAGUCAGCAUUCUCAAGAGGGAUUUGUGAGUUCCUAGUAGGGAACACAUGGACACGAAGCUGCGGCGGCGACGAUGAUGAUAUCAACAUGGGGCUGCAGCGGCGACGAUGACGACGACGAGAUCGACAUCGUCACGGGGCUGCGGCGGCGGCGACGAUGACGACGACGAGAUCGACAUCGUCACGGGGCUGCGGCGGCGACGACGACGACGGCAUCCUCACGGUGAUGCGGCGGCGGCGAUGAUGACGACAUCAACACCAUCAAACACGGGCUUGUGGAGGCGCCGGCGAUGAUGACCUAUAGGCGUGGUGUAUAUUGUAUAUAUAUAUAAAUAUGUAUGUAUUAAUUAUCUAUAGUAGAUGUGUAUGAUUGACUGUAUGCAUAAAAUGUGCGUAUUAUAAAAUGCAUGUAUGUGAGUACUAUGAAA